rnacentral:rRNA from 1 species
AUUGAACGCUGGCGGCAGGCCUAACACAUGCAAGUCGAACGAGUGCCGGACGGGUGAGUAAUGCCUGGGAAACUGCCUGAUGGAGGGGGAGAACUACUGGAAACGGUAGCGAAUACUGCAUACUACCAGAUGUGCUCAGCUGGGAUUACCUUGGUGAGGGGGUAACGGAUCACCAAGGCGACGAUGCCUAGCUGGUCUGAGAGGAUGACCAGCAACACAAGAACGGAGCCACGGACCAGACUCAUACGGGAGGGAGCGGUGGGGAAUAUUAAACAAUGGGAGGAAGGCUGAUGCAACCAUGCCGCGUGUAUGAAGAGGGCCUUCGGGUUGUAAAGUACUUUCAGCGGGGAGGGGGUACCCGAAGAAGAAGCACCGGCUAACUCCGUGCCAGCCGCCGCGGUAAUUC